CACGUAGGGGACGAGCGUUGUCCGGAUUCAUUGGGCGUAAAGCGCGCGUAGGCGGCUCGGCAAGUCGGUCGUGAAAUGCCGGGGCUCAACCCCGGGACUGCGUCCGAUACUUCCGGGCUGGAGGUAGGUAGGGGAGAUCGGAAUUCCUGGUGUAGCGGUGAAAUGCGCAGAUAUCAGGAGGAACACCGGUGGCGAAGGCGGGUCUCUGGGCCGAUACUGACGCUGAGGAGCGAAAGCGUGGGGAGCGAACAGG
rnacentral:rRNA from 1 species